GACGAACGCUGGCGGCGUGCUUAACACAUGCAAGUCGAGCGGUAAGGCCCUUUCGGGGGUACACGAGCGGCGAACGGGUGAGUAACGCGUAGGAAACCUGCCUUCGAGAUGGGGAUAACGACUCCUAACGGGGUGCUAAUACCGAAUGACACUGCGGGAUCGCAUGGUUCUGCAGUCAAAGGUGGCCUCUGCUUGCAAGCCACCACUCAAAGAUGGUCCUGCGUCCCA
rnacentral:rRNA from 1 species